rnacentral:lncRNA from 1 species
UUAAGUGGGGAUUAUGAAAUGUUGUGUCGCACUGUUUGCUAUAUGCGUGUUAAGAGGGUGAUUCCUUUCUCAUGUGUAUAACAGAUAGAUAGGUUAUAGGUAAAGGAUACAAGGUUAAAUACGAGUUCUUAAAACUCAUACUUAUGUUACGUUCGUGACUCAUGGUUAUAUGAAAUGUUUAUGAACCCCUCAACGAAUGGACGUUAAAGGUCUGACUAGGACAAGUUCUUAAACUCAUAUGGUUGUGGAAAGUUCCUGAACUCAUAAGUGUGGUAAUUUUGACGAACUGGGUAGAACUAAGUGUGAAUGGAGUAUUGAGGAUAAUAGGAAUAAAUAAACUAUUUAAGAAAAUGAUUAUUAGUGGAGGUAUAAGUUUUCCAAAACUCAUAGCUAUGUUAGACUUUGAAAUUUUGACAUCAAGCUAAAUACGCACUAUGUGCUUUUAAAAAAAAUGUAGACUCGUAAUCAUUUUUGGAAUGGUUUAAAGUGUAUUCUAUGCUACUUAUUUUAGCUAGACGCAAAUGAUUUCAAAUAUCAAAAUAUAUUUUUAUUUAUCACUCAUGUACCAUGUAACCUGGUGCAGAGAUGAUAAAAAGUUGAUGGAGUUAUAAAUACAGGAAUACAAAUAUCAAAAUAUAUUUUUAUUUAUCACUCAUGUACCAUGUAACCUGGUGCAGAGAUGAUAAAAAGUUGAUGGAGUUAUAAAUACAGGAAUACAUAGUGUGAAUUCGAUCUAAAAAUCAUUGUUCCACUAUUGUAUGAUGUGUUUGACAAAGUCAUACAAUGACAACAUCCUCAAAUGGGCUGUUAAUACAGUACGGCAUCAUGACGUCAUUCUCAAAAAUAUUUUCAAAAAAAAUUUAAUUUGCCAACGGGGUUUGGCUACACGUAAAUAAUUCAAUUGAAUUGAAUUAUUGAUAUGAGUCUAUGCUAUUAGAUUCACCUAGACUAAUGUUUAUAAAAACUCUAAGUGUUCAUUGAAAGAAAUUUCCCAAACCAAAUUGUUUUGGUGCGGAAUCUAAAAAGACUGAGGUAAGAAAUUUUGUGCGCCUAAGGCGGAUGGAAUAGAAGGAACGGGAAAGACUUGUUCCAACUAGCAGUACUUGGCCAGUACAACGCAUAUCGGGCUAAUCACCCUUUGUGUCCGUAAGUUAUGACGGUUUGCGGAUGAAUUUCCAUAAAACCUUUGCGAAAAUGACAGAAAAAUAGUCUAUAUGACUCAUAAGCACAAUUUGAAAAUUUUUACUCUUGUGAGUGAUGUAUUGGGUAGAAUGUGAUGUUGUGUAUGCAAGGUAUGAGGUGUAAGUUGAAUUUCGGGGACGAAAUUCUUAGAAGAAGGGGUGAAUGUGACAACACGCGAAUUUAGACACUCUUAAAAAAUUGAAUAGAGGUUAAAUAAUAAACCUAGACAGAAAAUAAGUGUAUGUAUUUGACAUUUAUGGGAAUGAAUUUUGUGAAUUUAAAAACUUUUGGUGAAGGUUUACAGUGUUAAGAAUAUUUGUGUAUAUGGUCAUAUAUGUGUACAGUAUGUGGUUAAGGGUCAAGGGUUGACCAGAUAAACUAUAUCAGUCAUAAAACCUAAUAAUAUUUUAGAACCUCGACGUUCAGUUAGAAAACCCUAACGAUUGAUAAGAAACCCUAUUACCGGCUAUAGAAACCCUAAUUUCAGUUUCGGGAGUCCGUAACCCUAAUUCAGAUUAUUAAAACCCUAAUUGGGAAGCUUGAAGAUAAGUGUUAAGGUUUUUAUGUUAUUGAUUUUAUAUUAAUUAGGGAUAGCCCUAAAAGAUUAUUAGAAAACCCUAAUUGAUUAUUAGAAAACCCUAAUUGUUCAAUUGGAAAUCCUAAUG